GGAAUCUUGGGCAAUGGGCGCAAGCCUGACCCAGCCACGCCGCGUGGAGGAAGACACCCCUAUGGGGCGUAAACUCCUUUUCUACGGGAAGAAGGCUUUCCUCUGGAAGGAUUGACGGUACCGUAUGAAUAAGCACCGGCUAACUCCGUGCCAGCAGCCGCGGUAAUACGGAGGGUGCAAGCGUUGUCCGGAUUCACUGGGUGUAAAGGGUGUGUAGGCGGGGCGGUAAGUCAGAGGUGAAAGCCCGCGGCUUAACCGUGGAAUUGCCUUUGAUACUGCCGUUCUUGAGUCUCGGAGAGGUCGCCGGAAUUCGUGGUGUAGCGGUGAAAUGCGUAGAUAUCACGAGGAACACCAGAGGCGUAGGCGGGCGACUGGACGAGAACUGACGCUGAGGCACGAAAGCGUGGGGAGCAAAC
rnacentral:rRNA from 1 species